CGGGUAGCUCAGUUGGUUAGAGCAACUGGUUUACACCCAGUAGGUCGUAGGUUCGAGUCCUAUCCCGC
rnacentral:tRNA from 1 species